UCCUACGGGAGGCAGCAGUCGAGAAUUUUUCACAAUGGGGGAAACCCUGAUGGAGCGACGCCGCGUGGAGGAUGAAGGCAUUUUCGUCGUAAACUCCUGUCAAACGGGAACAAGAAAGUGAUAGUACCGUUAGAGGAAGAGGCGGCUAACUCUGUGCCAGCAGCCGCGGUAAUACAGAGGCCUCAAGCGUUGUUCGGAUUCAUUGGGCGUAAAGGGUGCGUAGGUGGCUUGGUAAGUUGAAGGUGAAAUCUCGGGGCUUAAUCCCGAAACUGCCUUCAAUACCGCUAGGCUCGAGGACUGUAGAGGAGAAUGGAAUUCACGGUGUAGCAGUGAAAUGCGUAGAUAUCGUGAGGAAGACCAGUGGCGAAGGCGAUUCUCUGGGCAGUUCCUGACACUGAGGCACGAAGGCCAGGGGAGCAAACGGGAUUAGAUACCCCGGUAGUCCUGGCAGUAAACGAUGUCAACUGGUUGUUGGGGAUUCAUUUCCUUAGUAACGUAGCUAACGCGUGAAGUUGACCGCCUGGGGAGUACGGUCGCAAGAUUAAAACUCAAAUGAAUUGACGGA
rnacentral:rRNA from 1 species